GGUUAAACUCUAUCGGUCACGUGACGUGACGUGACGUGCCACAGACCUGGGAUCCGUUUUAUAUUAAUUUCAGGUUCAAAGAUCUGAAAAGACGUAAAGUAAGCAGUCACCCCAGUGGUGUUUGUGGAGAGGUAUUCCUUCAGAAAUGGAGAAGACAGAAAGCUGCAGAGGCAGGAUUGUUUGCAGAUAAUGCUGUUCUUCUUUUUCAGAAGUUUUUGGGGAGCCAACCCUCACAAACCUUCCUAAAAACUAAAAGAGCUAUUACUGAGUCUCAGCGACUCUUGCCACGAUCAGCUCUUCCCAGAAGAGAAGGAAGACCAAGGAAAUGAUUUGCUCAGGAUGAGAAAUGAAGAUGGUCAUCUUGUGCUCAAGCAAACAGAAGUCCUCUGAUGAUCUCAUCAACCAAAUGAGGGGUUUUGACCAAGUGAUGCUCUUGAAAGGAGUGAAAGAAGAGGAUGUGGUAAAUUGUCUUCAGAGAAAAAGCUUCUCAAAAGAUCUUAAAACAGCUUGAAGAAUGGUCUGGGAUCUUAGGACUGGGAGAUCUCACUUGCACCCAGUUAACCUCCAUAGAGAACAUUUAUCAGAAGCGCUGUCUGGGUAGGGCAAGAAACAUCAUCAAGGAUGCCUCUCACCCUAACCAUGGACUUUUCACCCUCCUUCCAUCCGGCAGGCGUUACAGGAGCCUACGCUCUCGAACUAGUACCUGCUCUUUUACUGCACUGGUCACAGUACUUUACAUACAUGUAUUGCACUACUCAUAUUUUGCACAGACUGCACAUGGUUAAAUCCAUUACACUAUAAACUGUCUAAAGCUGUUACUGUACAAGCACAGUAAACUAUUUCUACAAUAAAUAUAAUUGCACUACUAUUAUUUUGCAUAUAAUAAAAAAGUUAAACUAUA